UAUAAGUUUGAUCCUGACUUAAUUUUUAUAUUUUGUUUAAAAAAUGCAUGCAAUAUUUGAAAGGUUACCAUAAUUAGAUAAUUAUAUAUAUAUAUAUUAGUCCACUCGCAGCAUAUUAUAUUAAAAAUAAAUUAAUGUUUGAUUUAAUAAGUAAAAUAAGAUUUGGCUAAAACUUGUGCCAGCUGCCGCGGUUAUACUCUAAAAUCAAGUAAAAAUCAAUUAGCCGGUAGUUAAUUAUUUUGAUUUUUAUAUAAUUUUGUUUUAAUAAAAGGUGAUAUUAGAUUGUUAAAUAUAUAAUUUUAUAUUAUUAAAUAUAUGUGAAACUAUUGAAUUCAAGGUUAAAACUAGAAUUAGAUACUCUACUAUUCUUGAACCUAAAAUAUACGCUUAAAUAUUGUAAGUUAUGUUCUUUAAAUUUAAAGGAUUUGGCGGUAACUUAGUCCAGUUAGAGGAACCUGUUUUUUAAACGAUGAUCCCCGAAAAAUCUUACCUAUUUUAUUUUUAGUUUGUAUACCGUCAUUAUUAGAUAAUUUUGAUAAAAUUAAUUAUUUAAACAUAUUUAUUAUAAUAUAUUAGAUCAAGGUGCAGCUUAUAAAUAGGUUAAAAUGGGUUACAAUUAAAUUUAUUUAUUAUGAAUUUAAAAUUUAAAUAUUUUUUUGAAAGUGGAUUUAAUUGUAAAUUUAAUUUAAUAAGUUAAAUUGAUAGUGGCUCUAGGUUAUGUACAUAUCGCCCGUCGCUUUCAUUUUUAAAAUGAAAUAAGUCGUAACAUAGUAGGUGUACUGGAAAGUGUCCCUGGAUAUAA
rnacentral:ncRNA from 1 species